CAGGCCUAACACAUGCAAGUCGAACGAUGAUGCCCAGCUUGCUGGGUGGAUUAGUGGCGAACGGGUGAGUAACACGUGAGUAACCUGCCCUUGACUCUGGGAUAAGCGUUGGAAACGACGUCUAAUACUGGAUAGGACUGCCGGCCGCAUGGUCUGGUGGUGGAAAGAUUUUUUGGUUGGGGAUGGACUCGCGGCCUAUCAGCUUGUUGGUGGGGUAAUGGCUCAUCAAGGCGACGACGGGUAGCCGGCCUGAGAGGGUGACCGGCCACACUGGGACUGAGACACGGCCCAGACUCCUACGGGAGGCAGCAGUGGGGAAUAUUGCACAAUGGGCGAAAGCCUGAUGCAGCAACGCCGCGUGAGGGAUGACGGCCUUCGGGUUGUAAAGCUCUUUUACCCGGGAUGAUAAUGACAGUACCGGGAGAAUAAGCCCCGGCUAACUCCGUGCCAGCAGCCGCGGUAAU
rnacentral:rRNA from 1 species